UGGGGAAUCUUCCGCAAUGGACGAAAGUCUGACGGAGCAACGCCGCGUGAGUGAAGAAGGUUUUCGGAUCGUAAAACUCUGUCUUUUGGGGCGAACGUGAGUAUGGUGAACAAUCAUAGUCAGUGACGGUACCAAAGGAGGAAGCCACGGCUAACUACGCGCCAGCAGCCGCGGUAAUACGUAGGUGGCAAGCGUUGUCCGGAAUUAUUGGGCGUAAAGAGCGCGUAGGCGGGAUAGUCAGUCUGUUGUAAAGUGCGGGGCUCAACCCCGUGAUGGCAAUGGAAACAGCUAUUCUUGAGUGCAGGAGAGGAAAGUGGAAUUCCCAGUGUAGCGGUGAAAUGCGUAGAUAUUGGGAGGAACACCAGUGGCGAAGGCGACUUUCUGGACUGUGUCUGACGCUGAGGCGCGAAAGCCAGGGGAGCGAACGGGAUUAGAUACCCCGGUAGUCCUGGCCGUAAACGAUGGGUACUAGGUGUGGGAGGUAUCGACCCCUUGCCGUGCCGGAGUUAACGCAAUAAGUACCCCGCCUGGGGAGUACGGUCGCAAGACUGAAACUCAAAUGAAUUGACGGGGUCAUAGCUGUUUCCUG
rnacentral:rRNA from 1 species